GUGUCAGCCGCCGCGGUAAUACGGAGGGUGCGAGCGUUAAUCGGAAUUACUGGGCGUAAAGCGCGCGUAGGUGGUUUGUUAAGUUGAAUGUGAAAUCCCCGGGCUCAACCUGGGAACUGCAUCCAAAACUGGCAAGCUAGAGUAUGGUAGAGGGUGGUGGAAUUUCCUGUGUAGCGGUGAAAUGCGUAGAUAUAGGAAGGAACACCAGUGGCGAAGGCGACCACCUGGACUGAUACUGACACUGAGGUGCAAAGGCGUGUGGAUCAAACAGGAUUAGAAACCCCCGUAGUCC
rnacentral:rRNA from 1 species